rnacentral:rRNA from 1 species
CCUACGGGGGGCAGCAGUGGGGAAUAUUGCACAAUGGGCGCAAGCCUGAUGCAGCCAUGCCGCGUGUGUGAAGAAGGCCUUCGGGUUGUAAAGCACUUUCAGCGGGGAGGAAGGCGUUAGGGUUAAUAACCUUGGCGAUUGACGUUACCCGCAGAAGAAGCACCGGCUAACUCCGUGCCAGCAGCCGUGGUAAUACGGAGGGUGCAAGCGUUAAUCGGAAUUACUGGGCGUAAAGCGCACGCAGGCGGUCUGUCAAGUCGGAUGUGAAAUCCCCGGGCUCAACCUGGGAACUGCAUUCGAAACUGGCAGGCUAGAGUCUUGUAGAGGGGGGUAGAAUUCCAGGUGUAGCGGUGAAAUGCGUAGAGAUCUGGAGGAAUACCGGUGGCGAAGGCGGCCCCCUGGACAAAGACUGACGCUCAGGUGCGAAAGCGUGGGGAGCAAACAGGAUUAGAUACCCCGGUAGUC